AGAGUGGAGGCUGAUGUGAAUCCUUCGGGUCCUGCCUGGAGCUGCUGGAAGGGGGAGGGGGCGCAAGGGGGGGCAGGAGGAGGAGGAGGAAGAAGAGCAGCGCUGCUUCUGCCGCUUCCGUCAUCAUGGCUCACUCCCCUGUCCAGCAGCCUGGCCUGCCGGGGAUGCAGAAUUUGAAGGCAGAUCCAGAAGAACUCUUUACAAAACUGGAGAAGAUUGGCAAAGGUUCAUUUGGUGAAGUUUUUAAAGGCAUUGACAAUCGAACACAGAAAGUUGUUGCUAUAAAAAUUAUUGAUCUUGAAGAAGCUGAAGAUGAAAUAGAAGAUAUACAGCAAGAAAUAACAGUUCUCAGUCAGUGUGACAGUCCAUAUGUCACCAAAUAUUAUGGAUCUUAUUUAAAGGACACAAAAUUAUGGAUAAUAAUGGAAUACCUUGGUGGUGGAUCUGCCCUUGACCUUUUAGAACCAGGUUCACUUGAUGAAAUCCAGAUUGCUACAAUAUUAAGAGAGAUUCUGAAAGGACUCGAUUAUUUGCAUUCAGAAAAGAAAAUUCAUAGAGAUAUUAAAGCUGCUAAUGUGCUCCUCUCAGAACAAGGGGAAGUCAAGCUAGCAGACUUUGGUGUAGCCGGACAAUUAACUGAUACACAAAUAAAGAGAAAUACAUUUGUGGGCACACCAUUUUGGAUGGCGCCAGAAGUAAUAAAGCAAUCAGCUUAUGAUUCAAAGGCAGAUAUAUGGUCCCUGGGCAUAACAGCCAUAGAGCUUGCGAAAGGAGAACCACCACAUUCCGAACUACAUCCAAUGAAAGUUUUAUUUCUGAUCCCAAAGAACAACCCACCAACUUUAGAAGGAAACUACAGUAAACCUUUAAAGGAGUUCGUUGAGGCCUGCUUGAACAAAGACCCCAGUUUUAGACCAACAGCCAAAGAACUCCUGAAGCACAAAUUUAUAAUACGAAAUGCAAAGAAAACUUCUUACUUGACAGAUCUCAUUGACAGACAUAAAAGAUGGAAGGCUGAGCAGAAUCAUGAUAAUUCCAGCUCUGAAGAUUCAGAUGGUGAAACAGAUGAGCAGGCAUCAGGUGGCAGUGAUUCGGGUGACUGGAUAUUCACAAUCCGAGAAAAAGAUCCUAAGAAUCUAGAAAACGGAGCGACCCAAUUCCAUGAGUGGGAAAGAAACAAGGAAAAUACCAUUCAAAGGCGCCCUGCAUCUCGAUGCUUAUCUACAAUUAUAUCGCCAUUAUUCACAGAGUUGAAAGAGAGAAGUCAAGCUUGUGGGGGGAACAUGGGCUCCAUAGAAGAACUGAGAGAGGCUAUUUAUUUAGCUGAAGAAGCUUGCCCAGGAAUUUCAGAUACUAUGGUGUCUGAACUAGUACAGCGGAUUCAGAGGUAUUCAGUAUCUGGAGGGAGCAGUUCAUCCCAUUGAAGUCUGACUGUGUGACCACUUUUGGUACUCCACUGAGGCUCCUGCAGGCACCUGUUCUCAGAUGUGCAAGUGGAAAGAAGAGGCUGCUCAUCAUUCUGUGGCCUUCAAGUGGUUAUUUGUGAGUUAUAUGGAAAAUGACAUGGAGAGGAUGGUCAAAAUAUUCUAUGGCUCUGGUAAACUCUUGGAUGACUACCAUCAUCCACAAUGCACGAUCACUGGUGACUCUGUUCCUUAUCUCAGUUUCUCCAGCUGAUGCAAGCAAAGUUUCCACAGUACGUACAGGUACAUACAUCCUCACUUAUCAACUAUUCAUUCAGCAACCAUUCAAAGUUACAAAGGUGCUGAAAAAAUAAUUAUCUGACCAAUUGAUGACCAUUUAUUACUGUUGCAGUAUCCCUCACUUCAUGAACACUAUUACAGUCAAUAUGUAGUGUUCUGAAUCUGAUCUGUGUUUUUUUUUCUCCCACUUGGAGACGAGAGAGAUUGGAGAGGAAGGGAUUGCAAGAGAGUAAGCUGUUUGCUCUUCUACACAUCAAAAACAAUGCAACUGCACUGGCAGCCUGGAGUUAGGACCCACAAAUGCACUAUGCAAACAGCUUGCAAUAUUUUCAUGAAAUCUCUUUCUAUCCAAUCUCUUUGUUCUGCAAAGGAGGACAGAGCAGAGAGAUUGACGAGGAAGAGACUGAGAAUAAACUGUUAGCUCUUCUAUACAUGAAAAAUAGUGUGAUUAUGCUAGUAACAGGAAAGUGGUCAUGUAACUACCAUUUCUGAUGUUCCCUGCUGGCUUCCCAAAAGUCAAUGGGGAAGCUGGAAGGAAGUUGGAAGUCUCAGUCACAUGAUGUCCUUACUUAAUGACAAAUAGGACUGCAGAAACUGCCAUUGCUAAGUGGCACAAAUAGGCAAUGUUCAACUUUAUGACCAUGUUGCUUAGUGAUGGGGAUUCUGGACUAGCAUUAGCUUUUAUGGGCUUGCUUCAUGAAAUUUGGACAAUUAUGAAAAGCCCACCACACAUACAAUUUCCAUAAGAAAUCUUUGUCCAAGCGAAGUAGUUAACUACAGCAUUUCAUAUAUUUAUGGCACAGUAUCUUAAAGAGCAUAAGAUAGGAAGCACAUCAAAGCCAUGGCAAGGAGAAAUAGGGAGAGUGCCAUCUUCUUGAACCUCCUCCUUAGCUGACAUCAAAAGUAUAUUUGAAGGUAGCUCAAUAAGGAUUUUCUCAAGAAAAAGCCUCUAGUUCUGGUAAUUGCUCUGAUCCUCAAGAUAAUGAUGUUUUAGUAAUGAAACAAAUCAUUACAAUGCUGUUGGACAGUGCAAUAGAUUAAAGAGAGCUAAAAAGUCUAACAUUAUGAGAGGCCUCUGUAGAUUUACAAACACUCUUAUGUGUGAUGCACAGAGUCCACAAAGAACCCACUACACAGAACAAGAAGGCAAAAAGCAGAAAGAAUGAAGCUGCAUUGCCUAUUCUGUUCCUUCAUUAAUUUUCUGUGCUCCAUCUGCUCCCAAUCUGUUCAAUUCCUCUGUUUUCCACACACAGCCAUAUCUGUGCCAAUGUAAAUCUGGACAUCACAUUUCAACUGCUACUCUCUUACUAUAAACGUAACCUUUUCCAAUAGCAAAAUAUCACACUAAAAAUAACCUUCUCUUUUCGGGGCAGGCAAGAGUGGAGAGUAUGUACCUAUUGUUGUUGUUUUUUUUAAAAAAAGGACUAACUUGUCUACAAGUUAGUAGAGGUCUGGAUAGCAGAUUUUUUUGGCGGUGCAGACUUCUGCAGAUAAAAAUUGGAUUAGUUUUUAUCUGCAGAGUUAUUAACUACACACUUCCACUUAAACAGGCUAAUUCUGAAAUACUGAAGCAUUUAGAAUUCCCAGAAAUCCAUCAAACUGUAGAAUUCAGUGCCGAUUUUUCUCUCCAAGUUGUUUAUCCAUAAUUAAUUAUCCCUGAAGCUAAUCCAUUUUCUGUAAAGUGUUUCAUAUUAAUUAAUCUCAAAUAUCCUUGGGUGUACCCUUCCUCAGAGAAAUGCAAUGUAUGAACCAAAGCCACCAUUAACAGAAUAGCAACUUUCAAACAGCACUUAUGAAAGUGCACAAUUUUCAUUGCAGAAAUUUCUAAUACAGGCUGACCUUGGUUGGCUUGUCACCAUUCAAACCACCUGUUUCAACUGUUCAACCAUUCAUUCAGCUGAGAGCUAGUUUGGUCUAGUACAGUGUUUCCCAAACUUGAC